UGGGGAAUAUUGCACAAUGGGCGAAAGCCUGAUGCAGCAACGCCGCGUGAGUGAUGAAGGUCUUCGGAUUGUAAAGCUCUGUCUUUUGGGACGAUAAUGACGGUACCAAAGGAGGAAGCCACGGCUAACUACGUGCCAGCAGCCGCGGUAAUACGUAGGUGGCGAGCGUUGUCCGGAUUUACUGGGCGUAAAGGGUGCGUGGGCGGAUGUUUAAGUGAGAUGUGAAAUACCCGGGCUUAACUUGGGUGCUGCAUUUCAAACUGGAUAUCUAGAGUGCAGGAGAGGAGAAUGGAAUUCCUAGUGUAGCGGUGAAAUGCGUAGAGAUUAGGAAGAACACCAGUGGCGAAGGCGAUUCUCUGGACUGUAACUGACGCUGAGGCACGAAAGCGUGGGUAGCAAACAGGAUUAGAUACCCUGGUAGUCCACGCCGUAAAACGAUGAGUACUAGGUGUAGGAGGUAUCGACCCCUUCUGUGCCGCAGUAAAACACAUUAAGUACUCCGCCUGGGAAGUACGA
rnacentral:rRNA from 1 species